rnacentral:rRNA from 1 species
AGCUCCAAUAGCGUAUAUUAAAGUUGCUGCAGUUAAAAAGCUCGUAGUUGGAUUUCUGGUUUGAUGGGCCUGACCCGCCAGCGUAAGCUGUGUGAGUGUCGGGUUCUUGUCGGCCAUCCUUCCAGUGUGCCUCUCUACUCUUCAUUGAGCCGGAGGGGUUUUCGCGCUGGAUCUUUUACUUUGAAAAAAUUAGAGUGUUUAAAGCAGGCUUCACCGCUAUGAAUACAUUAGCAUGGAAUAAUAAGUUAGGACUUCGGUUCUAUUUUGUUGGUUUCUAGGACGGAAGUAAUGAUUGAUAGGGAUAGUUGGGGGUGCUAGUAUUCAGCGGCCAGAGGUGAAAUUCUCGGAUUCGCUGAAGACUAACUUAUGCGAAAGCAUUCACCAAGGAUGUCUUCU